rnacentral:lncRNA from 1 species
UUUUUUUUUUUUUUUUUUUUCUGUCAAGACAGGGUUUCUCUGUGUAGCCCUGGCUGUCCUGGAACUCACUCUGGUGAGUUGGUCACACUUGGUCCUGGAGACCAAGCUGGCCUCAAACUCAGACAUCUGCCUGUCUCUGUCUCCCAAGUGCUGGGAUUAAAGACGUGUGCCACCACUCAAAGGUGUGUGCCACCAUGGUGAAAUUCUUAAGGUAUAAACUUAUGUCCCAGCUCUCUGACUUUGUGUUGUAAUUACUGGUUUGAUUAACUGUCCUUUUUGAGUCAAAGAAGAUGCUCCACUAAUUAUAGAUAUUUUCAGGUUAGUGACUCAGGUGACCUCUCAGGUGCACCAGUGGAUGAUGGGACAUAUGUUUCUAUUGCUCUCAAUGACUUUAUUGCUUAUUUGUUCUGCUCUAUGCUCUCUUUGAAGACUUUGCCAUCAAAUAUUAAGCAUGCAUGUAAUGCUUGAACUGAUAAAAUGUGCCCAGGGAAGCCUAAUACAAGAUUUAUAAACAUGAUUUUAAAUGCUUGAUUACGGUAGAGAUUUUAAAGAGUAAAGAAACCUACUCUAUACAAAUAUUUAUAAUUCCAAAUGACUGAUUACAUCAGAAAUAUAUUCCUGAUGAUUAUUUAUAUUCUAAAAUAUAAACAGGUGUUAUGGGCAAUGAUAAUUACAGCAAACCCCAACUUGAUUUCUCCUUUUGUUUUGAUAUGAAGGGUGUUAUGAAAAGAAGAGAUCAAAUACAAACUGAACUGGAUUCCAAAGUUGAAGCCUUGACCUACAAAAAAGCUGACAUUGACCUGGUAUGUCCUUGUGUUUGUUAACAGAGUCUUUUAGAAGCCACUGUCUGGGAAAAAAAAAAUGUAUUAACUAUUUAGAGCUUAGCUGUAUGGGCACUUCUAACUAUUCAAUAAGUGAUAAUACUCCAAGCUCUUCUAAAAACCCACAGAAUGCUAUUCUUUAACUCUUUAAGCUUCGCAUUCUUCGUUUUCUGCCUUGCAUUUACUUGAGCUGUAAGGAAACAUGAAUCUGACGGUUUCUCAAAAGAACAAAGUGUUUAAAGUGUUUGUAGAAAGUACUUAACAUCCCAUCAGGUCAAUACUCAGCUAAAAACUUCACACUCUGCACAUGUCUUGGCAGAUAAACUCCUUUUUAAAGUUUAAUCCUUUCCUUAAAUGUAUGAGAGAUUUCAGUCAUGAAGUUGGAUAUUUUAAUGAAUUCCUAUGUUUUGCCACUAUGGGAAAAUAUCAUCAAUUGUCAGUUUUGAUUGAUUUUUUUUUUCUUUUAUGUAGCACCUCCCUUUUUUUUUUGGUUUUUGGUUUUUGGUUUUUGGUUUUUGGUUUUUUUUUCGAGACAGGGUUUCUCUGUAUAGCCCUGGCUGUCCUGGAACUCACUUUGUAGACCAGCCUGGCCUCGAACUCAGAAAUCCGCCUGCCUCUGCCUCUACUUCCCAAGUGCUGGGAUUAAAGGUGUGCGCCGCCACCGCCCAGCUUUUGCUGGAGUACUCAAACUUAAUUGAAUUUCAGACAUUACAUCAUUGGGUUCACAACAAUGUAGUAUUUAUAGUUUGUUUUGUUUGAAUAUUCCAGCACAGCCUGACCAGAGUAGAAUUUCUAUUUAACAUUUACAAGUGAAGAAGACCUGGAGGGGAGAGGUUGCCUAAGCCUAAUUGCUGUUAAAACACAGUUGGGCUAGUGGGGAUGCUGUUGUCUGUCACAGCCCACAUUGCUUCACAGUGAAAAUAUAGGAAGAGCAAUUGACUCAUCUGUAUCCUUUACUCAAGGAAGAAUACUUUCUUAGUUUAAAGAGAUAAUCAAAUUAUCGUUGAUUAGCUAUUGAGUAAACUUGAUCAAGUUGGUGGCAGGGGACUCCUUGACGCCCCCUGUAAAACUGUAGUAUUGCAGCCUCCUCAACUUGACCAGGUAGUGGUUUUUGAUUCCUUCUCCUUGCAUUAAGAACUUUAUAAUCUAAAAUUUUAUUUCUUAAUUCCUUCAAAAUCUCCUACAUCCUCUUCAACCCCUAGCCCAGCUUUGGCUCCUCUCCAAAUCUCCCUGUCCAUACAAGGUUUAAGGGGCAGGAACUGGUGAAUUGUUCACUGAGUGUUCCAGCCUAUACUGUGUGGACUAUGCUAGUCACUCAGUAGAUACUUAAUGAAACAAUAAAAAUCAUGAUGACCACUCUGAUCCAGGAGAACUUGCUGAAGGCUAAAAUCAAGAGGUGUCUACAAACUCAGCUCUGUGUAGAACAGACACUUCAUUCCAAUCUGACCGGGAACUUGACUCAUAUGUCUUAUUCUAUACAUUUUCCGAACUGAAAUUCCGUUGUCUGAGUGGAAUGUGUGUGGGGAGAGGUGGGCUGUGGUGGGCAGAGCUGGAGAAAGGCAUUCAUAAAGGAGGAUGAUGGGAAAUAUAUGUGGCCGAGCUUAGUGAUCAAAGGAAGAGUUGUAUUUUUCUUUCUAUAACAAUGAAGAGAAAUGGAAAAAAAAACCCAGCAUUUUGUAUUUGGGCUUGUAUGUGCUGUUCAUUUUAGAGUCUGCUCGAAGGAAAGAAAGAGCGGACACUUAUACAGAAAUUUUAAGUACAUCAUUUGAACGUUAGAAUUCAUUUUCCAUUUAAAAUGUUUAAAAAUUUUAGCAAUUAUUAAGACUAGUGGCUUAACAACAUUUUCUUCCUGAGUAAAUACUAGAGACUUUAACAUUUCCAGGGAAUAAUAACAUGGUAUAUGGAAGCAGCAUUUGUUCAGAAUAGCCCACCCUCCUAUAUUAUGUUUUUAUUUUAAAAUUUUAAAUAAUUUGAUUGAUUUGUGAGCAUCUGAGAGUGUGUGUGCGCAUAUGCACAUGUGUGUGCGUUUGUGUGUGUGUCUGCAAGUUUGAUGUCUGUUAUAUCAAAAUCAUGUCUGUUAUAUCAAAAGAUUGUUAUGAGAUUGUUGAAAUUUUAAAAUUUAAUUAUUCCAUUAUAUCAUGUAACAUUUGAAAUUAAUGUUUGAAGCAGUCAUAGUUAAUGGAAGCAUUGCAAGUGUUCUUUUUAAAUUAAUGUAUUAUCAUGACAUGUUUUAAACUUUUAUUUUUUUAUUGCUUUUACUCAUCAAAACAGACCUGUCUUAUAAUUCACAGAUUAGCAUCAUGAUUUGUAAAAUUCUCCAUUUUCAAAGAAUGGGUUUACAUGUUCUUUCAGUCAUCACAUAGAUAUGCCCACCACCAUCAUGUGUUUUAUACAAACUAAAAUCCCUCUGUGCCAUGAUGCAUUGUUAGUAACCUUGCAGAAUCACCCACAAAAUGGGUCUGUCGUGAUUGGUCGCUGAACAACC